rnacentral:siRNA from 1 species
AUGCGGAGAUGGACAUCCACAUGU